UUUCUGAUAAACACGUUUUCCUUCACAAAGAAAGGAUAUGUGUUUUUAGAAAAGCUGUGGCAUUUGUUGUAAUUGGGCAGCGGCCAGACAACCGUAGAGAUGGAAUCCACAGAUAUUUUUUUUACUCACCAUUCUACUAAAUCCAUCUCACAUUU
rnacentral:snoRNA from 2 species